AUUGAACGCUGGCGGCAGGCCUAACACAUGCAAGUCGAACGAGUGGCGGACGGGUGAGUAAUGUCUGGGAAACUGCCUGGUGGAGGGGGAUAACUACUGGAAACGGUAGCUAAUACCGCAUACCAUCAGAUGUGCCCAGAUGGGAUUAGCUUGUUGGUGGGGUAACGGCUCACCAAGGCGACGAUCCCUAGCUGGUCUGAGAGGAUGACCAGCCACCCUGGAACGACGACACGGUCCAGACUCCUACGGAAGGCAGCAGUGGGGAAUGUUGCACAGUGGACGCUAGCCUGAUGCAGCCAGGCCGGGUGUAUGAAGAAGGCCUUCGGGUUGUAAAGUACUUUCAGCGGGGAGACGUUACCCGCAGAAAAAGCACCGGCUAACUCCGUGCCAGCGGCCGCGUAAUAC
rnacentral:rRNA from 1 species